UACGUAGGGCGCAAGCGUUAUCCGGAUUUAUUGGGCGUAAAGAGCUCGUAGGCGGUUUGUCGCGUCUAUCGUGAAAGACCAGGGCUCAACCCUGGUUCUGCGGUGGGUACGGGCAGACUAGAGUGCGGUAGGGGAGAUUGGAAUUCCUGGUGUAGCGGUGGAAUGCGCAGAUAUCAGGAGGAACACCGAUGGCGAAGGCAGAUCUCUGGGCCGUAACUGACGCUGAGGAGCGAAAGCAUGGGGAGCGAACAGG
rnacentral:rRNA from 1 species